rnacentral:rRNA from 1 species
AAACAUCUGAUUCUGCUCAGAUUGAACGUUCGUCGGAUGCUUUACACAUGCAAGUCGAACGAAGAAUCAUCUGACGGCGUGGCGAACGGGUGAGUAAUGUAUCGGAACGUGCCUGUAAAGGGGUAUUGUCAGACGACGUCCGAAAGCGUAGCUAAUACCGCACACGUUCUUCGGGGAAAGGGGACCUUCGGGCCUCGCACUAUUAGAGCGGCUGACAUUUUGAUUAGGCUAGUUGGUGGGGCACUAUCACCCGGCAUGCCUGAGAUCCGUAGCUGGUUUGAGAGGACGACCAGCCACAUCCAGACUGGAGAGACACGGCCCAGACUUACGGGAGGCAGCAGUGGGGAAUUUUGGACAAUGGGGAAACCUGAUCCAGCCAUCUCAAGCGUGUGCGAUGAAGGUCUUGGCACGUCAUCCCUACGACAGAGCGGUUCACACUGGAUAAUACCCUCGUGCAACUGACGGUACCUGCAGAAUACACCGGCUAAUCCAUGCGCCAGCAGCCGCGGUAAUACGUAGGGUGCAAGCGUUAAUCGGAAUUACUGGGCGGUUAUGCAGGCGGUUCGGAAAAGAAAGAUGUGGAACCUUAGAGCUUUAACUUUUUGGAACUGCAUUUUUAACUACUGAGCUAGAGUGUGUCAGAGGGAGGUGGAAUUCCGCGUGUAGCAGUGAAUGCGUAGAUAUGCGGAGGAACACCGAUGGCGAAGGCAGCCUCCUGGGAUAACACCGACGCUCGCGCACCCAGGCGGGAGCAAACAGGAUUAGAUACCCUGGUAGUCCACGCCCUAAACGAUGUCAACUAGCUGUUGGGGCCUUCGGCCUUGGUAGCGCAGCUAACGCGUGAAGUUGGACUGCCUGGGGAGUACGGUCGCAAGAUUAAAACUCAAAGGAAUUGACGGGGACCUGCACAAGCGGCGGAUGAUGAUUAAUUCGAUGCAACGCGAAAAACCUUACCUACCCUUGACAUGUCUGAUCCGGAAAUGAGAUUUGGGAGUGCUCAUGGGAGAAAUCAGCAACCACAGGUGCUGCAUGGCUGUCGUCAGCUCGCCGAGAUGUUGGGUUAAGUCCCAACGAGCGGCAACUUUGUCAUUAGUUGCUACGAAAGGGCACUCUAUCGAGACUGCCGGUGACAAACCGGAGGAAGGUGGGGAUGACGUCAAGUCCUCAUGAAGCCCUUAUGGGUAGGGCUUCCGCCCAUCCAAGGUCCGCUGGCGACAGAGCUGCCCAACCCGAGCCGAAAGCCAACCAGUUCCGAUCGUAGUCCGAUCGCAGUCUGCAACUCGACUGCGUGAAGUCGGAAUCGCUGGCAAUCGCGGAUCAGCAUGUCGCGGUGAAUACGUUCCCGGGUCUUGUACACACCGCCCGUCACACCAUGGGAGUGCUCACUCAUGAAGUAGUUAGCCUAACUCAGUAAGGAGGGCGAUUACCACGGGUAGGAUUCAUGACUGGGGUGAAGUCGUAACAAGGUAG